UACAAAUUUGGUAUUUGCUCCCGUUUUAUUGAAAUGCAAAAUAAUGAAGUAUGACUUAUACAUCCUUUUGAAUAUGUUAAAUCACUAUGAAAGCAUUUACUUUUCCUGCCAUUUAUUUCUUUAGCUUGAAAUAAUAAUGUAUAUUUCUUAUUUAAUAAGGUGUAAUCCUUCUGGAGCCACAAGAACUUUAAGCCAAGUCAAAAUGAAACACAAAAACAUUCUGCAAAAAGGUAAUAUUUGAUUACACAAUUACUGAACUAUUAUUAUAACAGGAUUUAGUAUAUUCAUUCUGUCAUGCAGCUAACAGAAAGAAGACUGAAGCCCGUCUAACUGGCGGGGGGCCACCACAACCUCCCCUCACCCCAUCUGAGGACCUGGCUCUAUCCCUUAAUAAAGGGCGACCAGUGGUUGCUGGCAUUCCAGGGGGCAGUUCAUCACACAUACUAUGCACCACAAGUGAUGGUGAAAAAAGGGUGAAAUAUGAAAAGUUUACCUCUAUGAUUUUUUUUUAAUUUUUUUGUCCUGAUAAAUUACUAUCUCUGUCACUUAAAGGCUUUUUGAACAAGAUUAAUUUUUUAUGUAGGCUUAUUGUAUUUAACUGCAUAUGAUGUAUUAUUUUCUUUUAUAAUAUUGAGAAUUUAACGGGUUGUGUGUUCUUAUAGAUACUGAUGGACGGAUUGUAUUAUUGGACUCUCCAGAAAGAACACAGUCUGUCACAGUUGAUGAAGAUGAUGAUGACGAUGAAGAGACCACAUCUGCUGUGACAGAAGUGGACAAUGCUGGUAGAUCCACUGAGUACAUACCUAGGGAUUUGCCCACAGAUGAGGGUCCUUCAGCCUCAGCACACAAUCUAAGCAGGUUGCCAGCAAAGGAGCUGUAUAAGGUCCAUCUUCAAAAACAAAUAAGAAAAAGUGACAUGGAGAUGGACCUUAUACAGCUUCAAAUGGAAGAGAAAAGGCUCCUCAUUAAAAACGCAGCACUUGAAAUAGAAUUACUUGAGAAUCGCCUUAAGGUGAGAACUUGUCUGAAUAUUAAUCUGUUGCAUGUUAAAAGUGGUCCGUCUGUCUGUCUGUGUCUGUCUCUAUCUAUCUAUCUAUCUAUCUAUCUGUAUCGUAUGUAUGUAUGUAUGUAUGUAUGUGUAAAGCAAUAUAAAAAAAAAACAUUUUAAUGAACUUUACUUUUACUGUUUUUCUGGAAAUGAAGAAAUAAACUGCCUGGCAGACCAUUGCCAAAAAAACUAAUAAAAGUAAUUUUGACAAAUCCUGUCUCUCAAAAGUCUUCCGUCUCUGUUGGCCUCUAAAAUCUGUCGGUGUUCCUCUGGGCCAUCUUCCUCAAUACAAGGAGGGUGGCUCUCUCCUCUUAUAGUGGCAAUAUUGUGAAGCACAACACAAGCCCCAAUAAUGUUGCAUGCCCUCUCUGGACUAACCCGGAGCCUACGCAGACACUGAAACCAAGAUUUGAGGAUCCCUAUAGUCAUCUCCACCUUGGCCCGUGUUCGGCUGUGAGACAGGUUAAACCGUGUCUGUGGUCCA